rnacentral:tRNA from 1 species
CGGGGCGUAGUUCAGUUUGGUAGAGCGCCUGCUUUGGGAGCAGGAGGUCGCAGGUUCAAAUCCUGUCGCCCCGA